rnacentral:rRNA from 1 species
UACGUAGGGUGCGAGCGUUAAUCGGAAUUACUGGGCGUAAAGCGUGCGCAGGCGGUUCGUUAUGUCCGAUGUGAAGCCCCGAGCUUAACUUGGGAAUGGCAUUGGAAACUGGCGGGCUGGAGUGCGGCAGAGGGGGGUGGAAUUCCACGUGUAGCAGUGGAAUGCGUAGAGAUGUGGAGGAACACCGAUGGCGAAGGCAGCCCCCUGGGCCGACACUGACGCUCAGGCACGAAAGCGUGGGGAGCAAACAGG